rnacentral:rRNA from 1 species
CUCGUAGGCGGCCAACUAAGUCGGAUGUGAAAUCCCCAGGCUUAACCUGGGAACUGCAUCCGAUACUGGAUGGCUUGAAUUCGGGAGAGGGAUGCAGAAUUCCAGGUGUAGCGGUGAAAUGCGUAGAUAUCUGGAGGAAUACCGGUGGCGAAGGCGGCAUCCUGGACCGACAUUGACGCUGAUGAGCGAAAGCCAGGGGAGCAAACG